AGAGUUUGAUCCUGGCUCAGAACGAACGCUGGCGGCGUGCCUAACACAUGCAAGUCGAGCGAGAAAAGGGGGGCAACUCCCUGAGUACAGCGGCGCACGGGUGAGUAACACGUAGGUAACCUGCCCUCGAGCCUGGGAUAACCUACCGAAAGGUGGGCUAAUACCGGAUAUGACCACGGGAGUUACGGCUUCUGCGGUGA
rnacentral:rRNA from 1 species